AAUUACCUAAUUUUUGUGCCACGAGUUAAGCAAUCGGCGAGGAAGAGAACGCUUAGGUAUUCCACAGGAAGUUCUAACCUUGUGAAUUUAGAUUUAGAGAUGGGAAGGUCGCAUGAGGACGUUGUGACCACUAUCGACGAUGAUGAAUUGGAGAGAAUUAGGUCUUGGGCUGGGUUUUCCCCUUCCGUUAAAUUGAUUGCUCCUUCGAAGAGUGAGAGUCCUAAACUUUUUCCUUUAUAUCGAGUUGUGUUUUUCGAAUACCUUUUUCGUUUGGGCUACAAGUUCCCUUUUAGCGAGUUGAUUCAAUCGGCCCUCAAGGUUUUCAACCUUAGCCCUGGCCAAAUGUUGCAUUGUUUUUGUAGAAUAUGCUCAGUGAUCGAGGAGAACACCCAAAAUUGGGAUGCCCCUUUUUCCCUAGAUUAGUUGAUUGCCUGUUACUCUUUUUAGAGAUCCACGAUUGGCCGUUUCACCUUAAAGGUGAGGCAAAACCAGCGUAAGUUGGUGGAGGAAGAUGGUGUGAAUGACAGGGGGUGGAAGACCAUAUACUUCUUUCUGAAGAAAUCCUAUUUGGGUGUCGAUAUGAUGUGGCUCAGAGAGGGCUGGAACAAUGCAUAUCGCCAAUUCGAACCAGCGUUCCAACCGAGUCAAGAACUGAUUGAUAAGUUCUUGGCUCUCACGUUUGAGAAGAGGUUCUUUGACAAAGUUGUUCCAGCUACAACGCCUGUAAUGGCUUUCUGCUUCCAGCCGUCAAAUGUCCGAUGCCGAGCAGAUUGGCAGAGCAACUGCCAGGAAGAGAAUCGGAACCACCGCAGCUGAAUCCUCAGAAACUUUGUCACAACAAGCCGACGAACAAAUGAGGCCCCUAAGACCGCAAUAACCUCCUUUAGUGAUAAACGUGGAAGAUUUAUCUCUCUCAUUUUUUCCUAACUUCCUGGUUUCGGAAGGUGUUGAGUCGGGCGUGUUCCCCGAAGCUGAAAAUUUGCUAUCCCGACAGUGAGUAAUCGGCUUCAAACUUUGGACCCUAAAGAUGUGCUAUCUCAGUGCGUCGCCUUCCAACACUUCAGGGGCUGCAGAAUGCUCUUGCUUCUAGGGACUUCGUUGGGAAGAUGGCUUGUGAGAAGAGGGUUGCAUCCAAAAGGGCUGAAGAUUUGAAAAAGGAGAACUCGGAGCUACGCCGCCAACUUGAUGGAGCGAAGGAGGCUCAACAAAAACCACUUGAGGAUCAAGAGAGUAAGUUGAAGAAAGAGCGAGCCGUUGCUGUCGCUGAAGCUAACCAAGAGGUUGAACGGCCAAAGAAGCGGGUAGCGGACGUGGAGAAGGAAGUUCUUAACACCGUGGCUCUCAGCCUAGUCAAGAUCCAACCGUGCAUACCUGCUGGUUUAUACUGACAGCAUCUCAAAAGAGGAGGAAAAAGACAUUGUUGAUGUUGAUUACUAUUUGGCUAGCAUUAGCGGUAUCCAAGACCUGCUUCCCUCCAACCCUCAAGAUGCUCCAGCUACUGAAGCCGUAGGUCAGAACGUGGUCCACGCCCACAAUGAUCAAGAUGAAGCUGCCGCGCAGUAGCUGGACCGUCUGCUUUAGUCUCUGCUUGAUUUAGAAUAAUUUUGUUGUGGAACUUGGUUUUGUGUGUUUUAUCGUUAGCCAAGGGGCUAAUCGGGUUUUUCGUUGUGCUGUAAUUUUUAUCUGCACUUUGAACUUUUCAUUUUAGCAUGCGAACUUUUGUUUUAAUGCAUUUACUGAAGUAGACUUUUGCCU